rfam:Chlorocebus sabaeus isolate 1994-021 chromosome 7, whole genome shotgun sequence.
UAGGACAGGGUGUGAUGGGUAGCAUGGAGAACUUUGGAUUCUCAGGGAUAGGUUCAAUUCCUAUGAUUCUAG